GAUGAACGCUGGCGGUAUGCUUAACACAUGCAAGUCGAACGGUCUCUUCGGAGAUAGUGGCGGACGGGUGAGUAACGCGUGAGAAUCUGGCUCUAGGUUUGGGACAACCACUGGAAACGGUGGCUAAUACCGGAUAUGCCGAAAGGUGAAAGGUUAACUGCCUGGAGAUGAGCUCGCGUCUGAUUAGCUAGUUGGUAGGGUAAAAGCCUACCAAGGCGACGAUCAGUAGCUGGUCUGAGAGGACGAUCAGCCACACUGGGACUGAGACAC
rnacentral:rRNA from 1 species